rnacentral:rRNA from 1 species
UAUGGUCAAGUGAAGAAGCGCAUACGGUGGAUGCCUUGGCAGUCAGAGGCGAUGAAAGACGUGGUAGCCUGCGAAAAGCUUCGGGGAGUCGGCAAACAGACUUUGAUCCGGAGAUGUCUGAAUGGGGGAACCCAGCCAUCAUAAGAUGGUUAUCUUGUACUGAAUACAUAGGUGCAAGAGGCGAACCAGGGGAACUGAAACAUCUAAGUACCCUGAGGAAAAGAAAUCAACCGAGAUUCCCUUAGUAGUGGCGAGCGAACGGGGACUAGCCCUUAAGUGGCUUUGAGAUUAGCGGAACGCUCUGGAAAGUGCGGCCAUAGUGGGUGAUAGCCCUGUACGCGAAAAUCUCUUAGUCAUGAAAUCGAGUAGGACGGAGCACGAGAAACUUUGUCUGAAUAUGGGGGGACCAUCCUCCAAGGCUAAAUACUACUGACUGACCGAUAGUGAACUAGUACCGUGAGGGAAAGGCGAAAAGAACCCCGGAGAGGGGAGUGAAAUAGAUCCUGAAACCGUAUGCGUACAAGCAGUGGGAGCAGACUUUGUUCUGUGACUGCGUACCUUUUGUAUAAUGGGUCAGCGACUUAUUUUCAGUGGCGAGCUUAACCGAAUAGGGGAGGCGUAGCGAAAGCGAGUCUUAAUAGGGCGUCUAGUCGCUGGGAAUAGACCCGAAACCGGGCGAUCUAUCCAUGGGCAGGUUGAAGGUUGGGUAACACUAACUGGAGGACCGAACCGACUACCGUUGAAAAGUUAGCGGAUGACCUGUGGAUCGGAGUGAAAGGCUAAUCAAGCUCGGAGAUAGCUGGUUCUCCUCGAAAGCUAUUUAGGUAGCGCCUCAUGUAUCACUGUAGGGGGUAGAGCACUGUUUCGGCUAGGGGGUCAUCCCGACUUACCAAACCGAUGCAAACUCCGAAUACCUACAAGUGCCGAGCAUGGGAGACACACGGCGGGUGCUAACGUCCGUCGUGAAAAGGGAAACAACCCAGACCGUCAGCUAAGGUCCCAAAGUUAUGGUUAAGUGGGAAACGAUGUGGGAAGGCUUAGACAGCUAGGAGGUUGGCUUAGAAGCAGCCACCCUUUAAAGAAAGCGUAAUAGCUCACUAGUCGAGUCGGCCUGCGCGGAAGAUGUAACGGGGCUCAAACCAUACACCGAAGCUACGGGUAUCACGUAAGUGAUGCGGUAGAGGAGCGUUCUGUAAGCCUGUGAAGGUGAGUUGAGAAGCUUGCUGGAGGUAUCAGAAGUGCGAAUGCUGACAUGAGUAACGACAAUGGGUGUGAAAAACACCCACGCCGAAAGACCAAGGUUUCCUGCGCAACGUUAAUCGACGCAGGGUUAGUCGGUCCCUAAGGCGAGGCUGAAAAGCGUAGUCGAUGGAAAACAGGUUAAUAUUCCUGUACUUCUGGUUAUUGCGAUGGAGGGACGGAGAAGGCUAGGCCAGCUUGGCGUUGGUUGUCCAAGUUUAAGGUGGUAGGCUGAGAUCUUAGGUAAAUCCGGGAUCUUAAGGCCGAGAGCUGAUGACGAGUGUUCUUUUAGAACACGAAGUGGUUGAUGCCAUGCUUCCAAGAAAAGCUUCUAAGCUUCAGGUAACCAGGAACCGUACCCCAAACCGACACAGGUGGUUGGGUAGAGAAUACCAAGGCGCUUGAGAGAACUCGGGUGAAGGAACUAGGCAAAAUGGCACCGUAACUUCGGGAGAAGGUGCGCCGGUGAGGGUGAAGGACUUGCUCCGUAAGCCCAUGCCGGUCGAAGAUACCAGGCCGCUGCGACUGUUUAUUAAAAACACAGCACUCUGCAAACACGAAAGUGGACGUAUAGGGUGUGACGCCUGCCCGGUGCCGGAAGGUUAAUUGAUGGGGUUAGCUAACGCGAAGCUCUUGAUCGAAGCCCCGGUAAACGGCGGCCGUAACUAUAACGGUCCUAAGGUAGCGAAAUUCCUUGUCGGGUAAGUUCCGACCUGCACGAAUGGCGUAACGAUGGCGGCGCUGUCUCCACCCGAGACUCAGUGAAAUUGAAAUCGCUGUGAAGAUGCAGUGUAUCCGCGGCUAGACGGAAAGACCCCGUGAACCUUUACUAUAGCUUUGCACUGGACUUUGAAUUUGCUUGUGUAGGAUAGGUGGGAGGCUUUGAAGCGUGGACGCCAGUCUGCGUGGAGCCAUCCUUGAAAUACCACCCUGGCAACUUUGAGGUUCUAACUCAGGUCCGUUAUCCGGAUCGAGGACAGUGUAUGGUGGGUAGUUUGACUGGGGCGGUCUCCUCCUAAAGAGUAACGGAGGAGUACGAAGGUGCGCUCAGACCGGUCGGAAAUCGGUCGUAGAGUAUAAAGGCAAAAGCGCGCUUGACUGCGAGACAGACACGUCGAGCAGGUACGAAAGUAGGUCUUAGUGAUCCGGUGGUUCUGUAUGGAAGGGCCAUCGCUCAACGGAUAAAAGGUACUCCGGGGAUAACAGGCUGAUACCGCCCAAGAGUUCAUAUCGACGGCGGUGUUUGGCACCUCGAUGUCGGCUCAUCACAUCCUGGGGCUGAAGCCGGUCCCAAGGGUAUGGCUGUUCGCCAUUUAAAGUGGUACGCGAGCUGGGUUUAGAACGUCGUGAGACAGUUCGGUCCCUAUCUGCCGUGGACGUUUGAGAUUUGAGAGGGGCUGCUCCUAGUACGAGAGGACCGGAGUGGACGAACCUCUGGUGUUCCGGUUGUCACGCCAGUGGCAUUGCCGGGUAGCUAUGUUCGGAAUAGAUAACCGCUGAAAGCAUCUAAGCGGGAAACUAGCCUCAAGAUGAGAUCUCACUGGAACCUUGAGUUCCCUGAAGGGCCGUCGAAGACUACGACGUUGAUAGGUUGGGUGUGUAAGCGCUGUGAGGCGUUGAGCUAACCAAUACUAAUUGCCCGUGAGGCUUGACCAUA